AUCCUGUUGACUAACAUGGUGGGACAUGGAAAAGGAUAUAUAGCUUGAGCCUCAAAUAGACAUCAAAGAAGCUGGCAUGUGUUUCAUUGUUGAGGUUGCUAACACAACUCUACUGUAGAGAUUCAGCGGUGCCUGGAUUACAGAUAUAGAGCACCAAGCUGAUUCUUAGUAAAAAUUAUGAUGACUAUGGAAUGACCUGUAACACUUGAUAACCAUAGAAGAAAAGACAUCCGUUAGGCUUACUGAAACAAAAGGCUUGCUUGGAAAUUUAAGAUUCUUUUUAACACUUGUUAACCUGAUAGAAAUUUGUUCACCAUUGAAAGUAAUAACCGAAAUUCAUUAUUUUUUCAAGAUAACAAUUCCUUUUGCGUGCCAAUAAGAAAUGCACUGUUUUUCCUACGAAAAGAUGACUCUUAUGCAGGAAAGGAAUUACUGAACUAACAAAAAGUAAAUUGUAGAUCAUCCAGAGUUCAGUGGCCUAACAGAUAGAGGAUGACUUUGAGUUGGCAAUUGUCUGCAUGGUGAAAAAAUGAAUAGUAGUUAAGCUAACCUUCACUGAUCCUGAUAGAUUAUAUAUUUGUCUAGGAGUGUAUUCUACAAAUAUAAAUGAGAUCAAAGGUGGGCAAUUGGAUUUUCUAUUUUCUUCAAACCACAGUUUGUUAGUCGUUUCCUCCAUCAGUGCUUCGCCACAUAGUACAAUGUUUUAGACUCCAUCGCCUAUACUAAUUAAGUAAUAUCAUAUAGCGUGGGAAGUAGAUGUAGCAUGGCAUUGAAGAUUUUGUGCAUGCACCACACUAAUUUUUAGUAUCCACACUCAUACAUCAGCUCACCAAAUAGCGCAUAUUUAUUAUGGCCAUAGUAGACUCUAAAGCUAUUUCCUGUAGUCUUAUAAAGGAUUUGAUGUUUUUUGCAUGAGAGUCAGAUGAGUAAUUUCAGGAUAAACCGUGAUUACUUGCUGCCAAAAAAAUAAACUCAAUGCGGCAAUUUUCCAUAUGAAGCAAUGAGAAACGUACCGUUCAAACUCAAUGUACAACAAAUGCUGCAUCUUUGGUGAGGUAGUCAAACUGUCAAACCCUGCGAGUUGCAUCUAUGUGGAGCAUCCUAACUGCCGCCACAUAUUGACCAAAACGGUAAUCUGCAUGUCGCUGUACACGGGCCAUAUCUUCGGUAAGCAUGCCUGAUGGCUAGAUCCCGCAGAUGCCGCAUCAAUAUAUGACCACCGUCUGGGAUACCAAUACAUGAAUCGAGAUAAUUGGGCUGAUCUUCACCAUGGCCGUUACCACAUGAUGCAUGUUGAUCGGACUGCAGAGAGCUAAUCAACCCUGUUUGGACAAGGAGUGCUCGCC
rnacentral:lncRNA from 1 species